rnacentral:rRNA from 1 species
CCUACGGGAGGCUGCAGUGGGGAAUAUUGCACAAUGGGGGAAACCCUGAUGCAGCGACGCCGCGUGAGCGAUGAAGUAUUUCGGUAUGUAAAGCUCUAUCAGCAGGGAAGAAAAUGACGGUACCUGACUAAGAAGCCCCGGCUAACUACGUGCCAGCAUCCGCGGGAAUACGUAGGGGGCAGGAGUUAUCCGGAUUUACUGUGUGUAAAGGGAGCGUAAACGGGGGUGCAAGCCAGAUGUGAAAGCCCGGGGCUCAACCCCGGGACGGCAUUUGGAACUGUGCUGCUAGAGUGUCGGAGAGGCAGGCGGAAUUCCUAGUGUAGCGGUGAAAUGCGUAGAUAUUAGGAGGAACACCAGUGGCGAAGGCGGCCUGCUGGACGAUGACUGACGUUGAGGCUCGAAAGCGUGGGGAGCAAACAGGAUUAGAUACCCCUGUAGUC